GACAGAGGUGGCAAGCGUUGUUCGGAUUUAUUGGGUGUAAAGGGUCCGUAGGCGGUCUAGCAAGUCUGGUGUGAAAUCCCAUGGCUCAACCGUGGAACUGCAUUGGAAACUGCUUGACUUGAGUAUCGAAGAGGUAAAGGGAAUUCCCGGUGUAAGGGUGAAAUCUGUAGAUAUCGGGAGGAACACCAGUGGCGAAGGCGCUUUACUGGUCGAUUACUGACGCUGAGGGACGAAAGCAAGGGGAGCAAACAGG
rnacentral:rRNA from 1 species